rnacentral:sRNA from 1 species
UCGUAAGGAACCAUGGUGCUCCGACGGC